GAUGAACGCUGGCGGCGUGCCUAAUACAUGCAAGUCGAGCGAACGGGGGGCGGGUGAGUAACACGUGGAUAACCUUCUAUAAGACUGGGAUAACUUCGGGAAACCGGAGCUAAACCGGUUACUUAGAGGUGGAUCCUCGCUGCAUUAGCUAGGUGGUAAGGUAACGGCUUACCAAGGCCACGAUGCAUGGCCGACCUGAGAGGGUGAUCGGCCACACUGGAACUGAGACACGGUCCAGACUCCUACGGGAGGCAGCAGUAGGGAAUAUUCCGCAAUGGGCGAAAGCCUGACAGAGCAACGCCGCGUGAGUGAUGAAGGUCUUCGGAUCGUAAAACUCUGUUAUUAGGGAAGCGGUACCUAAUCAGAAAGCCACGGCUAACUACGUGCCAGCAGCCGCGGUAAUUC
rnacentral:rRNA from 1 species